rnacentral:rRNA from 1 species
GUUGAAGGUUGGGUAACACUAACUGGAGGACCGAACCGACUAAUGUUGAAAAAUUAGCGGAUGACUUGUGGCUGGGGGUGAAAGGCCAAUCAAACCGGGAGAUAGCUGGUUCUCCCCGAAAGCUAUUUAGGUAGCGCCUCGUGAAUUCAUCUCCGGGGGUAGAGCACUGUUUCGGCAAGGGGGUCAUCCCGACUUACCAACCCGAUGCAAACUGCGAAUACCGGAGAAUGUUAUCACGGGAGACACACGGCGGGUGCUAACGUCCGUCGUGAAGAGGGAAACAACCCAGACCGCCAGCUAAGGUCCCAAAGUCAUGGUUAAGUGGGAAACGAUGUGGGAAGGCCCAGACAGCCAGGAUGUUGGCUUAGAAGCAGCCAUCAUUUAAAGAAAGCGUAAUAGCUCACUGGUCGAGUCGGCCUGCGCGGAAGAUGUAACGGGGCUAAACCAUGCACCGAAGCUGCGGCAGCGACACUAUGUGUUGUUGGGUAGGGGAGCG